GAUGAAGAACGCAGCGAAAUGCGAUAAGUAAUGCGAAUUGCAGAAUUCCAGUGAGUCAUCGAAUCUUUGAGCGCACAUUGCGCCCUUUGGUAUUCCGAAGGGCAUGCCUGUUCGAGCGUCAUUAUCACCCCUCAAGCCCUCGGCUUGGUGUUGGACGGUUUGGUGGAGGCCCCCUCGGGGGUUCCUGCCCCUCCCAAAGACAAUGACGGCGGCCUCGUUGGACCCCCGGUACACUGAGUUCUUCACGGGACACGUAUCGGACACAUGGGUUUACGGGACACGGUCUGCCUCCCCUCAGGGAGAAUCUUUCUAAGGUUGACCUCGGAUCAGGUAGGGAUACCCGCUGAACUUAAGCAUAUCAAUAAGCGGAGGA
rnacentral:misc_RNA from 1 species